AAAAGCUUUCUUUAAUUGAAUAAUUGAAUUUAAUUUUUUAGUGCAAAAGCAAAAAUAUAAAUUAGGGACAAGAAGACCCUAUGAAUUUUUUAUUAAAUUUUAUAAAUAGUUUUAUAAAAUUUAAUUUAAUUGGGGUGAUGAAAAAAGAAUAAAUAUCUUUUUUUUUAAAGAAAAUUGGUUCCGUUUUUAGCGAUUAAAUGAAAAAAAUACUCUAGGGAUAACAGCGUAAUAAUUUUGGAUAGUUCAUAUAGAUAAAAUAGUUUGCGACCUCGAUGUUGGAUUAGGAUUCUUUUUUGGUGAAGAAGUUAAAAAAAGAAGUUUGUUCAACUUAUAAUUUCCUACUUGAUCUGAGUUCAGACCGG
rnacentral:rRNA from 1 species